rnacentral:rRNA from 1 species
UACGAAGGGGGCUAGCGUUGCUCGGAAUCACUGGGCGUAAAGCGCACGUAGGCGGCUUACUAAGUCAGGGGUGAAAUCCUGGAGCUCAACUCCAGAACUGCCUUUGAUACUGAAGAUCUUGAGUUCGGGAGAGGUGAGUGGAACUGCGAGUGUAGAGGUGAAAUUCGUAGAUAUUCGCAAGAACACCAGUGGCGAAGGCGGCUCACUGGCCCGAUACUGACGCUGAGGCACGAAAGCGUGGG